rnacentral:rRNA from 1 species
UGAGUAACACGUGGGCAAUCUGCCCUGCACUUCGGGAUAAGCCUGGGAAACUGGGUCUAAUACCGGAUAGGACCUUUAGACGCAUGUCUUUUGGUGGAAAGCUUUUGCGGUGUGGGAUGGGCCCGCGGCCUAUCAGCUUGUUGGUGGGGUGAUGGCCUACCAAGGCGACGACGGGUAGCCGGCCUGAGAGGGUGUCCGGCCACACUGGGACUGAGAUACGGCCCAGACUCCUACGGGAGGCAGCAGUGGGGAAUAUUGCACAAUGGGCGCAAGCCUGAUGCAGCGACGCCGCGUGGGGGAUGACGGCCUUCGGGUUGUAAACCUCUUUCACCAUCGACGAAGGUCCGGGUUUUCUCGGAUUGACGGUAGGUGGAGAAGAAGCACCGGCCAACUACGUGCCAGCAGCCGCGGUAAUACGUAGGGUGCGAGCGUUGUCCGGAAUUACUGGGCGUAAAGAGCUCGUAGGUGGUUUGUCGCGUUGUUCGUGAAAUCUCACGGCUUAACUGUGAGCGUGCGGGCGAUACGGGCAGACUAGAGUACUGCAGGGGAGACUGGAAUUCCUGGUGUAGCGGUGGAAUGCGCAGAUAUCAGGAGGAACACCGGUGGCGAAGGCGGGUCUCUGGGCAGUAACUGACGCUGAGGAGCGAAAGCGUGGGGGAGCGAACAGGAUUAGAUACCCUGGGUAGUCCACGCCCGUAAACGGUGGGUACUAAGGUGUGGGGUUUUCCUUCCUUGGGAUCCGUGCCGUAGCUAACGCAUUUAAGUACCCCCGCCUGGGGGAGUACGGCCGCAAGGNUAAAACUCAAAAGGAAUUUGACGGGGGGCCCCGCACAA